rnacentral:tRNA from 1 species
GGGUCUUUAGUUUAGUUUUAGAAUUCUGUUUUUGUAAAGCAGGGGUGUUUUUUUUAAUAGGAUCCA